CACAGGACCCUGGAUAUCACACCUCUCUAUAAUACCUGUAUCUAAUGUCCCUGAGGCUGAGGUAGAGGUAAAACACAGGACCCUGGAUAUCACACAUCUCUAUAAUACCUGUAUCUAAUGUCCCUGAGGCUGAGGUAGAGGUAAAACACAGGACCCUGGAUAUCACACAUCUCUAUAAUACCUGUAUCUAAUGUCCCUGAGGCUGAGGUAGAGGUAAAACACAGGACCCUGGAUAUCACACAUCUCUAUAAUACCUGUAUCUAAUGUCCCUGAGGCUGAGGUAGAGGUAAAACACAGGACCCUGGAUAUCACACAUCUCUAUAAUACCUGUAUCUAAUGUCCCUGAGGCUGAGGUAGAGGCAAAACACAGGACCCUGGAUAUCACACAUCUCUAUAAUACCUGUAUCUAAUGUCCCUGAGGCUGAGGUAGAGGUAAAACACAGGACCCUAGAUAUCACACAUCUCUAUAAUACCUGUAUCUAAUGUCCCUGAGGCUGAGGUAGAGGUAAAACACAGGACCCUAGAUAUCACACAUCUCUAUAAUACCUGUAUCUAAUGUCCCUGAGGCUGAGGUAGAGGUAAAACACAGGACCCUAGAUAUCACACAUCUCUAUAAUACCUGUAUCUAAUGUCCCUGAGGCUGAGGUAGAGGUAAAACACAGGACCCUAGAUAUCACACAUCUCUAUAAUACCUGUAUCUAAUGUCCCUGAGGCUGAGGUAGAGGUAAAACACAGGACCCUGGAUAUCACACAUCUCUAUAAUACCUGUAUCUAAUGUCCCUGAGGCUGAGGUAGAGGUAAAACACAGGACCCUGGAUAUCACACAUCUCUAUAAUACCUGUAUCUAAUGCCCCUGAGGCUGAGGUAGAGGUAAAACACAGGACCCUGGAUAUCACACAUCUCUAUAAUACCUGUAUCUAAUGUCCCUGAGGCUGAGGUAGAGGUAAAACACAGGACCCUAGAUAUCACACAUCUCUAUAAUACCUGUAUCUAAUGUCCCUGAGGCUGAGGUAGAGGUAAAACACAGGACCCUAGAUAUCACACAUCUCUAUAAUACCUGUAUCUAAUGUCCCUGAGGCUGAGGUAGAGGUAAAACACAGGACCCUAGAUAUCACACAUCUCUAUAAUACCUGUAUCUAAUGUCCCUGAGGCUGAGGUAGAGGUAAAACACAGGACCCUAGAUAUCACACAUCUCUAUAAUACCUGUAUCUAAUGUCCCUGAGGCUGAGGUAGAGGUAAAACACAGGACCCUAGAUAUCACACAUCUCUAUAAUACCUGUAUCUAAUGUCCCUGAGGCUGAGGUAGAGGUAAAACACAGGACCCUAGAUAUCACACAUCUCUAUAAUACCUGUAUCUAAUGUCCCUGAGGCUGAGGUAGAGGUAAAACACAGGACCCUAGAUAUCACACAUCUCUAUAAUACCUGUAUCUAAUGUCCCUGAGGCUGAGGUAGAGGUAAAACACAGGACCCUAGAUAUCACACAUCUCUAUAAUACCUGUAUCUAAUGUCCCUGAGG